CUAAAAACAGUGAAGAGGAGAGUAACUCUUAAUGGUCGACAAAGCAAGUUAGGGAGGAUGAGAGCCUAAUUCAGAUUUGAGAGCGAAGAACACCUCUGAGUUUCUAAUCGAAUUGAAAUCAUUCAUAGUAGAAUUAGACGGUAUCCACCGUUAAAAGGAUUUGCUUAAGUGGUCAUCACUGACAACUAGGGUGGUACCGCGGAUUUUACAGCCAUUCGUCCCUAAA
rnacentral:ncRNA from 1 species